GGUGCUGCUCCGUGGGGAACGCGUUGCCGGCUCCCUGCUAGGGGACCGCGGUGGCUCUUUGGUGGGGGAUUUCAGUGUUGCUGGGCACAGGGCACUGCUGUUGUAGAGCACACAUUUGUCCCGCGCAGCCGCCCCGCUGUGCAUGCAGCUCCACGUUUCCGGUGCCCCACAGCCCCCCCAGAGGCAUUCGGUGCCGUUGGGUGCCGGAGGAGCGGCGGUGCACAGCUCGCAGGACAGCAGCUCACUGCAUUCUGCGCGGGUGGCGGCGGAUCCCUGAGCGCACCGCACCGCGCACAGCACCGCGCACAGCACCGCGCAGCGCAGCGCUCCGCCGCACGGGGGGGUCAUGGCCCGGCCCGGCCCGGCCCGCUUCGUUCCGUUCGGUCCCGCGGCGGCGGCGGAGCUCCCG
rnacentral:lncRNA from 1 species